CUGAAAAAAGGCAACUGCACAGGAACUAUGCAGUCGUAGCCACAUAUAAUGUUCAUAGCAUGUCUCUGAAAAAGACUUAGUGUUUCUGUUGUUUAUGGUGUUGCUGCUGUUCUUGUUGAGCUGGUGCGGGAAUACUUUUGAUGGAGAACGGCCCUAGCUCUUCAAAAAGUGACCGGAAAUUGAUCGAGAGAAACCGGCGACAUCACAUGAAGGCCCUCUAUUCCCAGCUCAAUUCUCUUGUUCACCAUCAUAGCCCGACGGAGGUGACAUCUCUUCCGGAUCAACUUCAUGAAGCAACUAAUUACAUCAAGAAGCUGCAGAUUAACUUGGAGAAGAUGAAGGAAAAGAAAGAGAGCUUGUUAGGGAUCGCAAAGAUGAACACAAGCAUGAACAAUGGGAUGGAUGUAGCCUCAAAUUCACCAGAAAUUGAGAUUCACCAAAGUGGUUCGUCUUUACAGGUCAUUCUCAUUACUGGGUUGGAUCAUCAGUUCAUGUUCAAUCACGUCAUCAGUCUGCUUCAUGAAGAUGGGGUCAAGAUCUUAAACGCGAGCUUUUCCGUUCUGGAAGACAAAGCAUUCCACUCUAUUCAUUGUGAGGUCGGGGACUGUGCACCAAGUCUUGAUUCUGCAAGAAUAUAUGAGAGAUUAAGGAAAUGUGUCCAAGAUAAUGCACAGAGACAACUUUUUCAGACACUUGAUUUCUGAAGAGACUAUUGGCCCUCGAGAUGUACCACAAGAAGUAUAUGCACGCUCAUAGAGCCAGGAUUCAAGAAGGUUGCUGCAUUGGAUGAGGUACCAUCAGCAGAACCCAGAAAGGAGAAGUUAUGCGUUGGAUUAGAAGCUGCUCUGUCAUCUGCUUCUUCUAUAAUAGAUUUGUUGCAAAAUCAGAUGAUAUAUCAUGGACGACAGCCCUGAUGUUAUAAGAUGAUAUUUUUCAAGAUGUAGAAUUUUCCUUGCUGUAACAGCGUGAGAACCGAGUUGACAAUCAUCACUUGAUCGUUCGUGUGUGUAGAAGCGGAAUUCCAUGUUCUACUUAUUCGAACCCUGAUUUUCCAUGGCUUUGGCUCCAAUGUGAGAUCUGAAAUCA